GUGUGUGUGUGUGUGUGUGUCUCGCCUCGUUCCUGUGUCCAGGCCUUUGAAUGGGUUUCCUUUAAUUUUUUUUCCUCCUCUUUUCAGACGAGCUGGAGGAGGACUCCUCCGGGGAUUUGAUGAGGUUUUUUGCGCUCCCCUCCCUCUACAUCUCCUGUGUCUAUGCACAAAGGACCAGCGUCCUCCAGAAUAUGACUGUUCUGGAGGUCGCCGAGGCCAGGAGCAAGACGAGGGCUUCCUCAUCAAUAUGAAGGACCAUAAGACCAACCGAGCCUUCGGCUCUGCGAAGGUCUACCUCACCCCGGAGGAGUUCGGGUGGCUAGAGCGGUGGCUCGACAUCCACACCGGGCUGGAGCCAGAGAUGGACCUUGUCAUCUUCACAGACGGCAACAGGAGGUUCAACAAGCUCCUGUUGCCUAUCCAGAAGGCCUGGUCCGACUUGGGCUUGCCCGGCGCCCCCACCGUGACUGACAUAAGGACAUCGAUAGCCACCUAUGUAAGUGAUCAUCUAACAUUUUGAAAACGGGACGUAACAAGGAAAUGUUGAAAACUUUCCUUUAUUUCCGAAGGCAAGGGAUCACCUCCCGGCGGAUGAGCGGAGGGUGAUAAGUGGCAUUAUGUGCCACGACAUCUCCACUGCGGAGGAAUAUGCAGUGGACAGGUCGUGCCGCCAGCUCGCCAUGAUACGCAGAACCUUCGACACCCUGACAGACCCCGGCACAAGAUGGGAGUCCUCCUCGGGCAAAAAGGUGGGUUUUCAUGUGUCCUCGACUUACCUGCCCCCUCGAAGCCAUCCGGCAAUCUUAAUAAAUUAUGGAUCCGGCAGAAGCAUAAGGCGGAUGUCCUGUUCCAUAGAAGACUGCAGUUAUUCCAAGUCAAGGCUGGACUGUCAUCUGGAGCAGAGCUGGAUGCUGGAAAAAUACAGGAGCUGUUGAAAGAUCUAAAGAGGUGCUAUACCCUUGGACCAGCUGACGGUACUGAGGGCCACCAACCCUCAGCCUCCAAUGAUGUUGAGCCUGGACGUUGAUAUAGAGCACGAUGUCUUGUAAGUGGCCACUGCAUGCAAUUCUCCGUCCAACUGCUCCAACUGUGACACCCUCUCCAAGCUCCAAUCUGAGCUGAAGGAUAUUUGGAGGAAAUACAGGAUCCAAGCAACAAUGCUAAAAAGAACCAAGAACCGCAUGAAGCGAUUGGAGCAGGUAUGUAAAAUUCAUUACCAUAUUCAAUUACCUACCUGUGUCCCUGCCAUACGGCAUUAUGUGUUUGACAUAAAGGAGCUAAGGUCAAUGCUCCCAAGAGUCAUUGACCUCUGUGGUACUCCUUGGCUCCUCCAGAUCCAGGAAGGCGUUUUAGAAGGCUAAACCUUACCUUUUCACCUUCAACAGGCCCUCAAAAAGGCGCCUUCCCCAGUCUCCCCUCCACCCCCAGAACCAGAGCUCUGCCAAGAGCCAGAGGAAAAUUAGUUGUCACCAGAGGAAGAAACCUCGAACACGUAAACCGCCCCACCCACACCCACAAUGCUGUCAGUACUACAGCAGUACAGGCAGUUUCCAGCUCUCACGUUGCAAUGCAUCGAGGGGUACUAGGACCACCUCAAGGGCUCCUGUGGAGGAAAGAAGCACAUUGAAAAUCAAAAGUCGAAGGUGGGCCGCAUCAUGCAGUUCCUCACCUUCGUGGUGAACAACCGGAACAUCACAGGAAACUGGAGCAUCCUGACAAAUAUUCAUAGGAU